GCACGAAACUUGCCCCGAGAUGAGUUCUCCCUGACCCUUUAAGGGUCCUGAAGGAACGUUGAAGACGACGACGUUGAUAGGCCGGGUGUGUAAGCGCAGCGAUGCGUUGAGCUAACCGGUACUAAUGAACCGUGAGGCUUAACCUUACAACGCCGAAGGUGUUU
rnacentral:rRNA from 1 species